ACGGGAGGCAGCAGUAGGGAAUCUUCGGCAAUGGACGCAAGUCUGACCGAGCAACGCCGCGUGAGUGAAGAAGGUUUUCGGAUCGUAAAACUCUGUUGUUAGAGAAGAACAAGGAUGAGAGUGGAAAGUUCAUCCCUUGACGGUAUCUAACCAGAAAGCCACGGCUAACUACGUGCCAGCAGCCGCGGUAAUACGUAGGUGGCAAGCGUUGUCCGGAUUUAUUGGGCGUAAAGCGAGCGCAGGCGGUCUUUUAAGUCUGAUGUGAAAGCCCCCGGCUUAACCGGGGAGGGUCAUUGGAAACUGGGAGACUUGAGUGCAGAAGAGGAAAGCGGAAUUCCAUGUGUAGCGGUGAAAUGCGUAGAUAUAUGGAGGAACACCAGUGGCGAAGGCGGCUUUCUGGUCUGUAACUGACGCUGAGGCUCGAAAGCGUGGGGAGCAAACAGGAUUAGAUACCCUGGUA
rnacentral:rRNA from 1 species